GCAUACCUUUUAAAUGCCAAACAAGCCCAGCAUCAGCAGCACAUAAAGAAAUAUUUGAAAGGCUCUGGAGGGAAGCCAAGAGGACGUGGCUAAUGUUUCACCUAACCUCACCCCCUCGCUGGCUGGCUGGCUCUGCCCGGCAGCCCUGCCUGUGUGACGUGAGCCUCCGAGCUCUGGCAGGCAGCUGCUCCUUGACUGCCUGCACUGUCUGCCCGGCUGGCAGCAGGACAAGGGAAACAAAGAGGCUGAAAACAUAAAGUAGCGAGAGAUUAGGAGCGGCGUGGCCGGGAGGGCAGCACGCCCUCCCUCAGGGCAGGGACGGGUUUGGAGUCCGGGCCUCUCCUGGCGGGCACCCACCCACAGAGCCACUGGGCUGGGCCUCACCUUUCCCUCCAGGAGGGUCCAGCACUGAGGAGACACAAAAUGAGGUUCUUUCACAACAGGCUGCUCUGCACAGUCAAAAAGAAAACAGAAUGAGCUCUGACCCUUGGACUGCCUCUGCCAAUCAGACUCACUGAAUACACCAGUCAUCAGCAUCAGAGAAGGAGAAAAAAUACUCAGGAACUCACACCUAUCCCAUCUGCCAGCAGGCAGCAGAGGACACAGGAAAGACAUGCAUGGAAUGAGUGCUGGCUGGGGUGGAUGCAGAGGCCAGAGGGAUGACCCGGAGAGCUCAGCAGAUCUCUUGGGAACACCUAGGGAACUCCCUUGUCCCACCACCUACACAGCACUACUAAGUACAGGACAUGCUUCUGGAUCACACUGAAACUCCCCGGAACUCCCUUUCCACUGACACAUGCACUCAUACAAAUAAAACAAUAGCACAGGAUAAAUCCUACUUUCUUUUUUACUCAAAUAAAUCCAACACAACACUGUUGGUUUCAGGAGGGGAGCUUACAUUUCUGCAUCUUCCCACUUCCAGAAGAAAAUUCUCUACUUAAGUAGGGAGCAGGGAAUACCAGAUGUGGCUGGAGCGAUGCGAUUAAUGAGUAGCUGAUGUGCAACACCAUGAGAGGAAAAUUUGUGGAGGGGUUGAAAAGGUAACAAUCAUUUGGGGAGGGGGGAAAUAAAAUAUUAUAUUUCACUCCAUUAAUAGUUUGAAAAAUAAAUGUAACUAAAUGCAACCUCAAUUACUUCCUUUAAAAAGGCCCAAAAUAUUAAUACCGAAAAGAAAGAGUUAUUUUAACAAUUUUUUAAAUAAUUCUUAAGUCUAUUCACUGAAUUCAGUACAAUUUUCUCAAUAUUUUCAGUCAAGUCAAGACUGCAUUUUGGUCUUACUACAUAAAUCUGAAAAAAACCCACAUUAAUCUGGAAAAAAAAAUCCAAUUUUGUUUUGGACUUA